UGGGCUCGCAAAUGGGUCUUUCGCCACCGCAAUUCCCUCAGACUAAUAUCCCUGCGCGUGCAGCUACCCCUACUCCUCCUCAAUCGGCGGCAUCAAAUGAUGGGCCAACAGAAAUGUCCCCUUCGCCGAUGCCUCAGAAUGUGUGGCCGCCUCCUCAUUGGGUGACUUACAUGCAGUAGUUCCAGCAGAACCCUUCGUGGUCGCAGCACCCGCCGCCGCCGCCGUAGUCGUGAGUUGUGUUUGUAUGGACAUGCACUCUUUGUAUAGACUAUCGUUUGAACUUGUGCUUGUAUGGACAUGUAUGAACUACCAGUGCUUGUAUGGACUUGUAUCGACUACAUUUGGGCUUGUAUGCAUUGCGAUAUUUGCUAUAUUUGCAUUUGGACUUCUAUGGAUUGAAUGUGAUGCAAAUUGUGAUAUAUGAAAUGAUCGUGACAUUUGAUGCAAUA